rnacentral:rRNA from 1 species
GAGCGGCGGACGGGUGAGUAACGCGUGGGAAUAUUCCCUUCUCUGCGGAAUAGCCUCUGGAAACGGAGAGUAAUACCGCAUACGCCCUUCGGGGGAAAGAUUUAUCGGAGAUGGAUUAGCCCGCGUUAGAUUAGAUAGUUGGUGGGGUAACGGCCUACCAAGUCUACGAUCUAUAGCUGGUUUUAGAGGACGAUCAGCCCCACUGGGACUGAGACACGGCCCAGACUCCUACGGGAGGC